CAGCCGCCACGGGAAUACGAAGGGGGCUAGCGUUGUUCGGAAUUACUGGGCGUAAAGCGCACGUAGGCGGACAUUUAAGUCAGGGGUGAAAUCCCGGGGCUCAACCCCGGAACUGCCUUUGAUACUGGGUGUCUAGAGUAUGGAAGAGGUGAGUGGAAUUCCGAGUGUAGAGGUGAAAUUCGUAGAUAUUCGGAGGAACACCAGUGGCGAAGGCGGCUCACUGGUCCAUUACUGACGCUGAGGUGCGAAAGCGUGGGGAGCAAACAGGAUUAGAUACCCCGGUAGUCCCUGUCUCUUAUAC
rnacentral:rRNA from 1 species